rnacentral:rRNA from 1 species
UCCGUAGGUGAACCUGCGGAAGGAUCAUUAAUGAAUUUUAGGACGUUCUUUUUAGAAGUCCGACCCUUUCAUUUUCUUACACUGUGCACACACUUCUUUUUUACACACACUUUUAACACCUUAGUAUAAGAAUGUAAUAGUCUCUUAAUUGAGCAUAAAUAAAAACAAAACUUUCAGCAACGGAUCUCUUGGCUCUCGCAUCGAUGAAGAACGCAGCGAAUUGCGAUAAGUAAUGUGAAUUGCAGAAUUCAGUGAAUCAUCGAAUCUUUGAACGCACCUUGCACUCUUUGGUAUUCCGAAGAGUAUGUCUGUUUGAGUGUCAUGAAACUCUCAACCCCCCUAUUUUGUAAUGAGAUGGGUGUGGGCUUGGAUUAUGGUUGUCUGUCGGCGUAAUUGCCGGCUCAACUGAAAUACACGAGCAACCCUAUUGAAAUAAACGGUUUGACUUGGCGUAAUAAUUAUUUCGCUAAGGACGCUUUCUUCAAAUAUAAGAGGUGCUUCUAAUUCGCUUCUAAUAGCAUUUAAGCUUUAGACCUCAAAUCAGUCAGGACUACCCGCUGAACUUAAGCAUAUCAAUAAGCGGAGGA